CAUGCAAGCAGUGCGAAGGCGGCUGGUUCGAUGCUUUGCACUGGCCAGCCCAAUUCGGCCGAUGUGACGGUGAUAAUUUCGGGCGAGACCUGACGCAGAGCAUUUGCAACUGCCUCGCGUAAGACCGGAUUGGCUGCUCCGCCGCCCGCCAGGACUACUCGAUCCGGAAGCGACCCCAGGUGGCGCUCAUAGGAACAGGCGAUUGCUUUCGCGGUGAAGGCGGUAAGAGUUGCGAGCACAUCGAAGGGCGAGAGUCGCGCGCGCGUCAGAUGCGGCAGUUCACGCUGCCAGAAGCUCUCGCCGAAUAGUUCACGUCCGGUGCUUUUUGGGGGCG
rnacentral:misc_RNA from 1 species